rnacentral:lncRNA from 1 species
GUUAACUUUUAGAAUUAGUAAUCAUCAUUGUUACUGCGAGAAACGUAAAGCCAACAUUGGAUGCGUUAGGUCGGGGAAACGGUAAGUGUUGAGGAUGUGGGUGAGAGGGUAGAAGGUAGAGGGAGGAAGGAAGGUUGGAAGAAGAGGAAGUGCAAAGGUGGCGUCAGCACCGUCGUUGGCGUCCGCGUCGGCGUUGGCGUCGGCGUCGGCGUCGGCGUCGGCGUCGUGACGCCCGGAAAGAAAAGAGGGAGUCAGUUGCUGUUCGACCUUAACGUGUCUCGCAUAACUUCCCACUCGGAUUAUUUUUCAAUAAUAAACGUCACGUUUGCUUUAUCUACCAUAAUCUAUCACAUCAGUUUUGAAUAUCACUACUAAAAAAAAAAAUUAAAAAUUAAAAAAAUUAAAAAACACACACGUUUCGUUCGAUCAUACGUGCGAAUGAAUAAAAAGCCGAUUAGAAAAUCAUUUGGAAUGUUCGUCGAAUACGUGUUAUUUAAAUAAUACAACAAAUAAAAAAUGUCGAAUUGUUCGAACUUAAUUCUGAUUGAACAAGAAGAUUGAAAUAAAUGUCAGAAGAAUCGAA